UUCAUGAAUUGUGAUGAGUGCGAUGCAUCAGACUAGCUAGAGCUCCCCAUGUGUUUGAAUCCUGUAAUAACAGCGGUUUGGGGCGUGCGCACACUGAGCCAGCUGUAGGACGGGGUGGAAGCGAGAUGAGAAUACUAAGUAGGCACCUCAUGGCUCAGCAUCAGCACCGGGCUGAGUUAGGAUUUGCGCACCCUCCAAACUUGGCUUGGGACCUCAGCAUGUGAACGGGCUUUGCAGGAGGAGGAUCCACCUAGGAUGUCAGCUCUGAAGAAGGUGUUGCCAGGCAUACUGAAGAAGCACUGCUGUAUCUUACCAGACAGGAACACAGGUUUGAAGAGGUUGCUGAUGAAAUUGAAGAGCAGGGGGAUAUACUCAGGUACCUG